AUUGAACGCUGGCGGCAUGCCUUACACAUGCAAGUCGAACGGUAACAGGUCUUCAGAUGCUGACGAGUGGCGAACGGAUGAGUAAUACAUCGGAACGUGCCUAGUAGUGGGGGAUAACUACUCGAAAGAGUGGCUAAUACCGCAUGAGAUCUACGGAUGAAAGCAGGGGAUCGCAAGACCUUGUGCUACUAGAGCGGCCGAUGGCAGAUUAGGUAGUUGGUGGGAUAAAAGCUUACCAAGCCGACGAUCUGUAGCUGGUCUGAGAGGACGAUCAGCCACACUGGGACUGAGACACGGCCCAGACUCCUACGGGAGGCAGCAGUGGGGAAUUUUGGACAAUGGGCGAAGGCCUGAUCCAGCAAUGCCGCGUGCAGGAUGAAGGCCUUCGGGUUGUAAACUGCUUUUGUACGGAACGAAAAGCUCUGGGUUAAUACCCUGGGGUCAUGACGGUACCGUAAGAAUAAGCACCGGCUAACUACGUGCCAGCCGCCGCGGUAAAAC
rnacentral:rRNA from 1 species